UACGGGGGGGGCAAGCGUUGUUCGGAAUUACUGGGCGUAAAGGGCUCGUAGGCGGCCAACUAAGUCAGACGUGAAAUCCCUCGGCUUAACCGAGGAACUGCCUGUCAGACUGUGUGGCUUGAGACCGGGAGAGGUGAGUGGAAUUCCCAGUGUAGCGGUGAAAUGCGUAGAUAUUGGGAGGAACACCAGUGGCGAAGGCGGCUCACUGGACCGGAACUGACGCUGAGGCGCGAAAGCGUGGGGAGCAAACAGG
rnacentral:rRNA from 1 species